GUAGACUCCUAUAAUCUUGGGGAUGUGUUUCUAAAAUAGAAUUCUAAUUUUAAUUUACCCUUUACAUUUUGAACUCAUUUUAGACCCAACCUAAAUAUGAGUAAUAUGAGCAUCGUUAGCCUUCUUUUAACGUAUAGAUUCCAUAUAUAAAUAUUAAAGUUGAUUCAGAGGCCGUUCGUGAGGGAAAUGCUUGGGUUUGAAGCACUUUAGAUUGGAAUUUCGUCAUUUUGAGGUAGGUUAUGUCUUAAAUUCUGUUAGAUUGAGUUGGGAAGUUAUUGAACAGAGAAAACAUGUAUGGAUUGGGAAAAGUAACUAUGGAGUGUAUAUUCCAGAGUUAUUUUUACUAUUGUGUGACAGUGUAGGGGCUUAUAUUCUAUUGUGAGUGGUUUGUGAUAACUGAUGUUGUGUGUUGACUUUAUGAGAGCUUUAUUUAGCAUCAUUGGCCUUAUCUGUGCAUUUAGAUGUUGUUAUUCUAGAUAUGAUGCCCUUAUUUUUCUAAUAUAGUCCUUAAUUGAGUAUUGGUUGACUUUAUAAUGAUAAAAUACAUGAGUUAGAGAUUGAUAUGAUAUUAAUGAUGUGUUACGUAAUUGGAGUUGAUGAUCAUGAAUUAUAAAUAGAUUGAGUUGAUUUUUGAGAUCACUUAUAUAUAUAUAUAUAUAUAUAUAUAUAUAUAUAAUAUAUAUAUAUAUUGGAUAGAAUGAUUAUCAUCAUAUUAAGUUGAUUGUGGAUUACAUCUUCAUUCCAUACAUAUACAUUCAUGAGAUACUGGUACCGCUGAGAAACACUAUUUUUGAAGAAAAUAAAAUACUUUUAUGAAACAUCUCUGCGUAAAUAUGAGUUAGAGAGGCGAGUUGAGAUAGAGAUAAAGAUAUAGUAUAUGGUUUGCAAACUCUCCAUGGAUCCAACUUGGUGUGAACUUGAUGGGUGUAUACAGAAAGUCAUGAGAUAGCUUUCAUCAUUCAUCCUGUUUACGUUGUAUUGCAUUGCAUUUGCAAACACAUCAUGCUUAGUUUUCUUAAUUUCCUUGAUUUGUGCUUAGUUCAGUGUGUUUUCGUAUAUAUCUAUGUUGUUUUUAUUUCUGUGUAAUUAUAUUAUAACUUUAAGAGGAGAUGGUGAGAGCCACCGUUUGGGACUUUUCUGCUUGCAGGUGACAUGCUCAUAGUAUAUUUUACUUAUCUUAUUUUCUGCUUUGCUCAUUUGGCCUAUGAUUCCUACUGAGUACAAGUGGACCAUACUCACCCCAACUGUGCUCUUUCGGUGCAUAUCUUAGUAUGAGCACCUUGCGUGGCAGUUGAAUUUGCACAGAGUUUCUAAACUUCGAGGUACUAAUUAGCUUUAGAGUUGAUUCGAACUCACCUAUAUUUAUUUAAAUUUAUCUUGGUCAUCAGAGACAGAUGUAUACUUUGAGUUUUCGAAUAUUAUGUUAGACACUCUUACUCUAUGACACUAAAUUUUGGAGAUUUAUGAGAUUUUUUUCCAGAUUCACCUUAUUUUCUUAUGUUUUAGGGCCUGCUUAAUUCUAGAAGUCUUGUAUUGAUGUAUGCUAUUAUAAAUUUUGUAUUUCCUUUAUCAGUUUGAGUGAUUUACUUACUUAUGAAGGCUUGACUUUAUUGUGAUUGUUUUUCAUAUUGGUUAUUAUUGUGGGAUGUAUUGAAAUUUAGACGUCUUCAUUGAAUUGGUUGAUUCAGGUACCACGACGGUAUAGUACAUGGAUAAGAGCUCGACUCCUACAAGCCAUGACUAGUGGACAACCAUAAGACCCUUAACAUGUAUGUACAUGGUAUGUAUGAAUGUGACAGUUCCUUGAGUGGAUCAGGUAUAUGAUUAUUGUUAUUGUUGUUGUUUAUAUUGGUUCCAUGAGUGGGUCAAAUUACAUUGUGGUUGUUGUUAUGGGUUCCUUGAGUGAACGAAAUUAUGAUAUUGCUUGAUAUAUUUGGGAUUCUUGUAGGGUCUAGUUACGUGUCAUAUAUUUUGAAAUUCUUAUUGUUAGAAUCAUGGUUUGUUAAUUUGUAUAUCGUUAGAGUCAUGAUUUGUUAACUUAGAUAUUGUUAGAGACAAGAUUAUUGAUUUGGACAUGGUUUGACUUGACCUGUUGUCUCUUGACUUGUACUUGACUUAAGUUGCAGAGUUACUUGAAAAGGCUAAGUGUCAUAAACUUGGGGUAUUUAUCAUAAUGUGUGUCAUAGUUGUAUUUAUUAUAAGCUGAUGAUUAUUAAUUAUUUAACAUGAUUAAUAACUAUUAGGUUCAAACAUGUGAGAGUUAGGAUAGAUGAGACUUGAAUGACGAUGUUGAAUGAUCAACACGAAUGAGAAUGAAAAUACUCUUAGUUAAAACAAGGAAUAAAGAUUGCAAGCGGAUAAAGACAUUAUGAAUUAAAUUAUUAUAUAAGUUGUCAUAUUUUCUAUCGUAAUUUCUAUAUCGUGUUUACAUGAUCUAACCCUGGUCGGUCGAUUAUACGUGCAAGUAUGUGUUUUUACUGAUACUACUCUUGCUAUAUCCUUUUUUGGGUAUAGUCGUUUGCAG
rnacentral:lncRNA from 1 species